CCUACGGGAGGCAGCAGUGGGGAAUAUUGGACAAUGGGCAAAAGCCUGAUCCAGCCAUGCCGCGUGUGUGAAGAAGGCCUUCGGGUUGUAAAGCACUUUCAGUGGGGAAGAAAGCCUUGGGGCUAAUACCCUCGAGGAAGGACAUCACCCACAGAAGAAGCACCGGCUAACUCCGUGCCAGCAGCCGCGGUAAUACGGAGGGUGCGAGCGUUAAUCGGAAUUACUGGGCGUAAAGCGCGCGUAGGCGGUCUGAUAAGCCGGUUGUGAAAGCCCCGGGCUCAACCUGGGAACGGCAUCCGGAACUGUCAGGCUAGAGUGCAGGAGAGGAAGGUAGAAUUCCCGGUGUAGCGGUGAAAUGCGUAGAGAUCGGGAGGAAUACCAGUGGCGAAGGCGGCCUUCUGGACUGACACUGACGCUGAGGUGCGAAAGCGUGGGUAGCAAACAGGAUUAGAUACCCCAGUAGUC
rnacentral:rRNA from 1 species